GGGAUGUGAUGAGUGGUUCAGUACUCGCAUUAAAACAUGCGAGAUUUGGGUGUUCCGCCCCAAGCCUGGUUACGACAAAUUGGGCACUCACAUCUUAUCCAAUCUGAUCCC